rnacentral:tRNA from 2 species
GCGUUCAUAGCUCAGAUGGAUAGAGCAACAGCCUUCUAAGCUGUGGGUCGCAGGUUCGAAUCCUGCUGGACGCACCA